ACACGAACUUAACCUCCAUCUCGUCUAGGUCGCCCCUUCGGCUCCGGAAACUAGAAAGGACCCUGACAGUUAUUUAUCUGUCCGUGAGCUACACCAGAUGAGGAAAGCAACGCUCAAAGAGGUUAUGUGGCUUUUUGAGAUCACACAGCAAGCCAGUGAAGACCCAGGUGUGGAACUAGUCUCUCCCCACCCGGUGUUCUUCCCAUUCUACCACAUCACCACCAGAGGCGUGCCCGAACUACCCACCGUGCCCCCAAAGAGCCAAUUCCAAGACUCUUGGAAGGUUACUGCUCUUCCAAGGUUGCUGCAACACACCCAUCGCAUCCUACCUCACAAAUAAAUGGCUAGGUGGAGCCCAUCAGCGAUUUCAUUUGGAAUCUCAACACGCUGCAUUGAUGAGCUUUUCCUUUUAGAACUAUAAAUAUUUACAAUAAUCGCUAUUUUGCUGUGAAUCAAUGUCUGUCAGGAAACUAGGGUUGUUCUGGUUGCUGACAAUAUUGGUUUCGCGCUGGGUUGCUUUCUUGCAGGUGCAUUUAAAUGUCAGUUAUUGAUUAGAAGAUGGAUUGUUCCUGGAUGUUGUGACCAAAACGAAUUUUGGAAAUGAAGCAAUUUAGAAUUUAUCUGAAAACCAAGUUGCCUCAGAAUAUUAACAAUGUCAAAAUAAAAAAAAAAAAGAAGUUGUGAGUUACGGGUGACGGUCCCGAGUUGGUUAUUUGGACAGCUAGGAUUUUCUCUAUUAUUCUCACGGCAUUUUCUUCCGUCUCUAUCCAAAGAAAAUUCACUGAACAUGUAUCAUUACUGAAAACUGGCCUGGCCACAAGCAUAUGGAAACAACAAAGACUCCCCUUUCUAGGGGACCACAUUUGCAAGUGGAGAGAUCAGUCCAUCCCAGCUCAGCCAUCACUCUGCUGGAUUUGCACAUUUUCAAUGAGCAAACAUCUUUCUUCUUCUCAUUUGCCAGUAAUAUCUCAAAAUGGCUUCAAUUAUUGAAGAAACACUAGUAGAAUUAAGUAUAAAUUGCUCAAAAUUAUAUAAUUAAUGGCACCCUACUUCCACAAUGGUUCCCAGAGGCGAUUAGCUUCCCAGCUGGCCCUUUGGUGGUAGUCAGCCCCUCGAGGCUGGCACGUGAAAGAAUUUGUGUCGAGAAGUUUAUCAGCGAACAUGAAAUGGCUUUUAGUUACAUAAAAAGUAAUCUCUGUAAUUGAAUAUAUUUGUGUCAAUAAUUUUAUAA